rnacentral:rRNA from 1 species
CAGUAGCCGCGGGAAUACGGAGGGUGCAAGCGUUAAUCGGAAUUACUGGGCGUAAAGCGCACGCAGGCGGUCUGUCAAGUCAGAUGUGAAAUCCCCGGGCUUAACCUGGGAACUGCAUUUGAAACUGGCAGGCUAGAGUCUUGUAGAGGGGGGUAGAAUCCCAGGUGUAGCGGUGAAAUGCGUAGAGAUCUGGAGGAAUACCGGUGGCGAAGGCGGCCCCCUGGACAAAGACUGACGCUCAGGUGCGAAAGCGUGGGGAGCAAACAGGAUUAGAUACCCGAGUAGUCCCUGUCUCUUAUAC